rnacentral:rRNA from 1 species
GAUGAACGCUAGCGGCAGGCCUAAUACAUGCAAGUCGUACGGCAACACAGUUGCGAGCAAUCGCAACCGGUGGCGAGUGGCGCACGGGUGAGUAACGCGUAUGUAACCUACCCUUCUCCGGGACAUAACUCCGCGAAAGCGGUGCUAAUAUCCCAUACCAACUCAUCAAGACAUCUUCUUGAGUUGAAAGCAGCAAUGCGGUGAAGGAUGGGCAUGCGUCCCAUUAGCUGGUUGGUGAGGUAAUGGCCCACCAAGGCUACGAUGGGUAGGGGUUCUGAGAGGAAAGCCCCCCACACUGGUACUGAGACACGGACCAGACUCCUACGGGAGGCAGCAGUAGGGAAUUUUCGGCAAUGGGCGAAAGCCUGACCGAGCGACGCCGCGUGAGGGACGAAGGCCUUCGGGUUGUAAACCUCUGUCGUGGGGGAUGAGAACGGACGGUACCCCGGAGGAGCCCCGGCUACUACGUG